rnacentral:lncRNA from 1 species
CACAACCCCAACCCGGUCCGAUCCCAGGUGGAGAGGACGUUGUAUGGAUCAAGUUUGCUUGAUCUCGACCGUCCAUCCCCGUUGAUCAACGGUCCUGAACUCAUUGGCCUAAUCUCAUAAAAAUGUAAUAAGGAAUGGGUAUAAUCUUGAGACAUAGUUUGUCUUCCUCGUACCAACUCCCCUACCCCGUCGUCCUCACCAUCUCCACUGUGGCUCCGUCGGCAGGAAAUCGCCGCCGCCGCCGGCGAAGCUCCAAAAUAACACAAAAUUUUCACCCUAGAACCACCUUUCCCUCCCUUCCCAUAACCAUUUCCCUCGAAUCAAAACCCAAUUGUUCGAAUCUUCAAUCGAAAUUUCAGCGAAAAACCCUAGUUCAUCCAAACUUCCCCAAAUUCGCACCCUACAAUCCCUGGACCUCUCUCACCCCUAAUCCUUAAGCAAAUACCUUCAAAACCCGUUGAAACUAGACAACUUUUGGAUCUAGGGUUCAAGGUUCGGACUUGUUCUGGGAAAUUUUAAGGCGUCGAGUUGACUUCUAAUUGACACCAUAUGUUUUACGAACAUAUAACGUCAAUUAAAAAUCCAGUUCGGUGAACUGGUCGAGUGACGAUUUUUAGCCGUAACUUUUCCUUAUCUGUUUUGUUCUUUCAUUUUUUAACCUUGUUUCUUAUUAGUGGGUUCAUGUAAUAGUUAGUUAAUUAAGUUAAGUUGUUAUAUGUUGUUAAUGGUUCAUGCUUCUGUUACAAUUCUAGGUUUAGAGUAUUUUCGAUUCGUUUCAAUGUUUAGUUCUAUUUAGUUAGUAUAAUUUGAUUCUAAUAGGUUUUACUCAUUUUAAUUUCAAGUUUAUGUUCUGACUUUGGCAAUAAUUGAUUUCUUCAAAUAUUUGUAGGUGUUUUUGUUUCCUUCUUUAGUUUUAGUUUAGUAAUUCUAGACUUUAGUAUAAAUAUGGUUGUGAAUUCUAUUCUGAAUAUUGUUAGAUCUCAAUUGGAUUGAAUUAGUAUUGUUCUUUAAUUCAGUUUUUAGAAGCAAAGGUUUGGUCGAUUGGAUUUAGCUGAAUAAUUUAAUACUUGUUUAACUAAUCUGAAUCUUUAGCUAGGGUAAAAGGGAUGUGGUUGGGUAGUAAUUCCAAGCUGAAAAAAAGGGUACUUUAGGCAUAAAAAGGGAAGGUUUAUUAGAAUUGGUAAUUUCAAAACAGGAGUAAGGGUAGUUUAGGCACUGUAUAGUUAAAAGAACCUUCCAAGACAUUCCAAAUGGGGCUUUGACGAGUGGUGAUUUUACCACUCAUUCUAGCCUCUUUACCUUAGAUUUUAUGUCAUUUUAAGUAUAAAAUGAGGUUGUUUAUAGUGGUUAUUAUGAGAUUUUUACGUACACGAUGCUAUGAAGUGGUUUGCAUUGAAGUGAAGUUGAAUUGAGCAAAAAUAAGGUGAAACCAUGCGACAAUCCCUAGUCAUUUCCGCUUCUGCGGAUCCUUGGUCGUAGGUGAGACCUCCGCUUAUGCAG